rnacentral:tRNA from 1 species
GGCUUUAUAGUCAUUAAUGAUAUUAGACUGCAAUUCUAAAGGAGUAGAUCUCUACUAAGGCUU